ACGUACCUUUUGGUUCGGAACAACACAGGGAAACUUGUGCUAAUACCGGAUAAGCCCUUACGGGGAAAGAUUUAUCGCCGAAAGAUCGGCCCGCGUCUGAUUAGCUAGUUGGUGAGGUAAUGGCUCACCAAGGCGACGAUCAGUAGCUGGUCUGAGAGGAUGAUCAGCCACAUUGGGACUGAGACACGGCCCAAACUCCUACGGGAGGCAGCAGUGGGGAAUAUUGGACAAUGGGCGCAAGCCUGAUCCAGCCAUGCCGCGUGAGUGAUGAAGGCCCUAGGGUUGUAAAGCUCUUUUGUGCGGGAAGAUAAUGACGGUACCGCAAGAAUAAGCCCCGGCUAACUUCGUGCCAGCAGCCGCGGUAAUACGAAGGGGGCUAGCGUUGCUCGGAAUCACUGGGCGUAAAGGGUGCGUAGGCGGGUCUUUAAGUCAGGGGUGAAAUCCUGGAGCUCAACUCCAGAACUGCCUUUGAUACUGAGGAUCUUGAGUUCGGGAGAGGUGAGUGGAACUGCGAGUGUAGAGGUGAAAUUCGUAGAUAUUCGCAAGAACACCAGUGGCGAAGGCGGCUCACUGGCCCGAUACUGACG
rnacentral:rRNA from 1 species